UUGAACAUGAGAGUUUGAUCCUGGCUCAGGAUGAACGCUGGCGGCGUGCUUAACACAUGCAAGUCGAACGAAGCACUUUCUUACGAUCCCUUCGGGGUGACGAGUUAGUGACUGAGUGGCGGA
rnacentral:rRNA from 1 species